GGGAAUGUGGCUUAGUGGUAGAGUGCUUGCCUAGCAGGCAGGAAGCCCUGGGUUCCAUUCCUU
rnacentral:tRNA from 1 species